rnacentral:rRNA from 1 species
AUUGAACGCUGGCGGCAGGCUUAACACAUGCAAGUCGAGCGAGCGGCGGACGGGUGGGUAAUGUCUGGGCAACUGCCUGAUGGAGGGGUCUAACUACUGGAACCGUUAGCUAAUACCGCAUACCCUCAGAUGUGCCCAGAUGGGAUUAGCUAGUAGGUGGGGUAAUGGCUCACCUGGGCGACGAUCCCUAGCUGGUCUGAGAGGCUGAACGGCCACACUGGGACUGAGACACGGCCCAGACUCCUACGGGAGGCAGCAGUGGGGAAUAUUGCACAAUGGGCGAAAGCCUGAUGGAGCCACGCCGCGUGUGUGAAGAAGGCCUUCGGGUUGUAAAGCUCUUUCAGCGAGGAGGCGUUACCCGCAGAGGAAGCACCGGCUAACUCCGUGCCAGCAGCCGCGGUAAUAC